GCCUUUGUGAGUUACAGGGCAUGUCACACAGGCAUGUACACAAUCGUGGUGAUAGCAGGGCCCAAAGGAAGCUGUAAGUCAAGAACCAAGAGUCUACAAGUGAAGCACUGGCUGACAGCCCUGCCCCGUAGUCAUCGGUGUGGACACGCUUGCAGCAUGAAUAUUAAAAAGAGGACAGAUUCUACUUUAUCAGAAACACAAACUUAAGGAUCAAAUUUAUCUACUGGGCAACAAGAACAACAACAACAAAAGGACAGAAACAACCCCUUUACAUUUAAAAAAAUACAAACAUAACCAGAAUACGUAUUUGCAUGUAAAGAAAAAUGCUUCAGCUCCUCCCACCCCAGGCAAUUCACUGCUGAACACCUUGAGUCCUAGUGUGGGUGGAGGAAGAAGGCAGAUUCAGAGAAAGGUUCCAGAGAUUCUUAAGAUGCCCGGGACCAGUACAACCACUGUGAAGUCAGUAUGGAGAUGCCUCAAAAACCUGAAACUAGAAAUUCCAUUCAACCCAGCUAUUUCCUUUCUAGGUAUGUUCGCAAAAGAGAAUAUAUCAUAUUACAGCGAUACAUGCAUACUCCCAUUUAUAGCAGCA
rnacentral:lncRNA from 1 species